UACGUAGGGGGCGAGCGUUGUCCGGAUUUAUUGGGCGUAAAGAGCUCGUGGGCGGCUCGGUAAGUCGGAUGUGAAACCUCCAGGCUCAACCUGGAGACGCCAUCUGAUACUGCCGUGGCUUGAGUCCGGUAGAGGAGCAGGGAAUUCCUGGUGUAGCGGUGAAAUGCGCAGAUAUCAGGAGGAACACCGGUGGCGAAGGCGGGUCUCUGGGCCGAUACUGACGCUGAGGAGCGAAAGCGUGGGGAGCGAACAGG
rnacentral:rRNA from 1 species